AACGAAUUGCACGGGACAUAGUUAUGUAAAGUGCCAUUCUUAUCACAUCAUAUAUCAAAAUGAUUUAUCACUAUUGAUGUUGACCUUGAUCCCGUGGUUGAGGUAGUGUCUGCAAGGUUUCUCUUGCAAAACUACUCGUCGGGCCCCUUUUCCGUACUGUACUCCUUGGCAGGAAGUCCCUCUGUGUAGUCCACACUCAAAGAGUGGGGAGUCAUGUCGUCCUCCUCCUUGAGGACAGAGCAUCUACGAAAAUUAUUUGGGAUUCUUUUGCACUGCAUGAGAGAUUUGUCUCUUCAUCCUGCUUAUUUAUUCAAUCAUUUAUGUAUAUUUUUAAAGUUCGCUCCUUAUCAGAAUUUCAGUAAGGUACGUGCUGAAAUCUUUACGGUCCAAACAAAAUGAUUUUAAGGAUUUGCUUCAAUGUGCAGUAGAGGGUGAGAAAGU
rnacentral:lncRNA from 1 species